CCAAGUCACAUAUAAUACAUUAUAUAGCCAAAUGUAUGUGGUAACAUGACUGCCACACCUAUAUGAACUUGUUGGACAUCCCAUUCCAAAACCACGGGCAUUAGUAUGGAGUUGCUCCUCCCAUUUGCAGCUCCCAUUUGCAACUCUAGCAACCACCACUCUUUGGAGAAUGAUUUCCACAGGAACAUGCAUUAUAUAUGUUGGAAUUUGUGCCCAUUCAGCCAAAACUAAAUUUGUGAGGUCAGGCACUGAUGUUGGGUGAAACGGUUUGGCUCGAAACUAGCGUUGCAAUUCCUUCCAAAUAUUAGGGUUCAGGUGCCAGCCACUCAUUUUUCUCCACACCAGACUUGUCAGAUCAUGACUUCAUGGACCUCGCUUUGUACACACGGGCACAAGAAAAGACCUUCCUCACUGUUGUCACAAAUUGGAAUUCAUUCAUAUUAACAUGAACAUGAUCCCUCCUCCACCAAACUUUACAGAAGGCAUUACGUGUGUGUAAUUUCAUUGUAAGUAUAUAAUAUAUGUUAUUCAUAUAUAAUUACAUUAUUUUAUUAAUUAUAUAUUGGGGGAUCUGCCUGACAACCCAAGCAGCCCCCUGCAGGCAAUCAAGCUGAUCUAAAUCAUGUGAUUGUGGUGUCCCCUGGUGCUGGCUGCCUGGUUUGCAUUUUAGUCCCCCUGAUGAUAGCAUCCGGUGAGGUAAGUAUGAUUCGGUGAAGCUGUAGGGGCACUGACGUUAGGACGCCCCAACGUCAUUAAAGCCCAUUGACUUUCUGGUUAAGUUCUGUGAAUACAAGGUACAUUAUGUAUUACUUCAAUAGUAAUACUAAAGAUGAUUCUGCUCUUCCUUCAGGAUUAUAAAAUAUUCUGUAUAAUGAAAUCCAUAUAAACUACACAGUAUGGAAGAAUAUUAUAUACACUUAAGGGCAAUGAUCUUAUAACCUAUAAACAGAAUUCUAUAGUGGGGUUUUAAACAUGUGGUUUAAUCAGUUGCAUUGGGAGCACCACACUGACAUAUAAAGACAUGUUUAUUCCACACCUUAACAUCUUCAGCGCCACAAUUAGUUUGCAGUAUUUUCUUCAUUUUUGCAAGACCGCGUAAUAAUUGCAAGUUAAAUAUAUAUGGGUUGGUUUUAAUAUAUAACAUUUUUUUUAGUAGCUCACUGCCUGUCUGCUAAUCUAGUAGCUAUAUAGAUUUCCAAAUAUGGACAGUACUUGCAGAUUGUUAAAUAUUGUGCGUUUAUUGCAUGAAACGUGAUAUAUAACAUAUUGAUUGACUUGAAAGUCGAAUCUGUGAUCGCAUGUUAUAUAAUUUUAAAGAUUUGCAAGUGCUGUUCAUUUGCUGGGAAUCAUUAAACGAAAUAAAAAAGUAUAUACGUGUAAUGUAAUAUGACUCAUCGGAAUAGAACUCUUAAUAUUGUACCGAUAAACCAAAUGUUUACUUCUGAAAUGCAAUGAUUUUCCCUGAAGGCUAAUGUUGUGAAAUAAAAUGAUGGAUUGAAACAAUGA